rnacentral:rRNA from 1 species
UACUUAUAAUCAAAAUUUUUUGGAAUAGUAAUAAUGAUGAAAUUUAACGGAUUUGGCGGCAAGAUAGCCAUUCAGAGGAACCUGCCCUAUAAACGAUGAACCACGAAUUACUCUACUUUUUUUUGUUUUCAGUUUGUAUACCGCUGUUGUCAGUUAGUUUCUUUAGAAAACUUUCUUUCAUGUUAAAUUCAUAGACUUCAAGUAAAGGUGCAGCUUAUAAAAAAGUUAGAGGUGGGUUACAUUUAUUAGAUUAAUACGGAUAAAGGAUUGAAAUGACUUUUGAAGGCGGAUUUGAUUGUAAAGUUUAAAUAGACUUGAUUUGAGCUCUAUCUUGUGUACAC